CCAAGCAUCAUUCAUUAACAGACUCUGAUAUUCCCUUCAGUCAUUGUCAUGGCUAAGAAAGCAGCUCCAACCCACACACUGCAAAUACGAAGGCCACGAAAGGCACGCAGGCUCUGGUGUGUGUAGUGAAGAUGAGUGACCAUGUUCCUAAGCAUGAAGGACCACGUGAGGAUCCCGGACACCUACUGCAUGAAUGUAUUAGCCCUUUCAGGUCUAGGGACCUGGUAACCCUUCAUUACUUAUACUCUGACUUUCUUCCACUUCUUUCCCCAGUCCAUAAAUGUAACUUAGGUGACUUAUUAACCCUGACGGUUUGAUCAACAAUAGUAAGCUCUAGUUUCAGGCCUAGUGUUGGUCCCCCUACUGCAGACAUGGGAUAAAGUCAAGGGCUAACCACCCUUACAAAUUUACACUUUUCUAAAGGGUGCCUUGGGAGAGAGGGAGUGCAGAGCAGAGAAAACCUACCUGUGCAACUGACAAGGCCACUCAGGCCACGGGGACAGAGCAGGAAUGCUCUCAGGAGUGUCCCCUGCACCUGAAUUCGAUUUCUGCCUUCGCCUUCUGCCUCCUACCCAGCGUCUCCUGCACAGUCAGUCAAGCGUUUCCACGGUACCAGCCAUACCUGAUGCCAGGAGACUCACUACACUUGGAAGCUCUUCAAGGCAUGGUUAUCUUUGUGAACUGGAUCUUGGAGAAGCAGGAUUGAACAUAAGAGCUAUCUCUGAGGCUCCAGCACCUACAAGGGACGCCCUCCCUCUCCCCCGUGGACCACCUGUCUAACCCAAGUGAGUCUCACACAGAAACCAGUCAUGGCCCUGCCUUCGCCCCCCUUGAAAUCACCCGAGAGGAUGCUUCCAACUCAGGCAAGCAUAACUGACACUCACUCUGCAUGCAACAGCAGGGGAAUGACCUUACAAGAAACUAAUGGGCCUCGCUUCAGGAGAAUCACUGUCAGAGCCUGUAACAUAAGAUAAAUAACAGCCAAGGAUUUUUGAAAAGUUUCCUGAUGAGAGAACCAUGACCUUUUCAAGGGUAGUGAUGGAUUGAUCAGGGCAAGCAACAUGUAGAUUUUUUAAAACAAGGCUAGCAAAAGAAACAGUGAUAUAUAUCUACCAAAGUUAGCUAGAAUACCCGGCUGGUGUCCCAGUCAGGAAACACAGGAAAAGGUUACAUCUGUAGGGAAAAAAAAAACUUGUUACGCAAAACGAUGCAGUUAAAAACCAAGCUCACUGUAAGAAAUGCCGUGUGGGCCAGAGGGGACUGUCAUGUCGAAAGUGCUCGGUGUUCCUGAAGCUGGGCGGCCAGGUGUUUUAACACCCAAAGGCCCUCCCUGCUGGGGCCAUGGGAUAAGCCUCUGAGUGGCUUCAGACCCAGCAAGGAGCUCUGAAGUCUAUGCGGGGGGUGGAGGGUGGGAAUCCUGUUAGAAGCUCUCACUGCUGUGAAUUUAUGAAGCCCCGUGCACACUGUGACUUUUAUAAUCAUAACUUAGCUGGCUUUAGCUCACGUUGCAGGUUUCAUGACAGGCUGCUCCUUAAUGAGCAUUGUAAUCUUCAGGAAAGAAUCCAAAUUCUUUAGUCACCACCUAACUCCACGUUCAUUACCGUGUUGUACAGAGUGGAGUCCAAAAGCGGCAACUGUGUUUAUUUCUCCACAGAAAAUACACCUCCACCAAGGCA